UACAAAAAUAGUGUAAAAGUAAGAGAGAAACAGUAAAAUAAAAUAAAUAAACUAGAAGUGCAUUUAUGAUGAUGUGCAUUUCCUAAAGGAAAUACACAGUGCAUGAAAAGAACUGAAAGAAAGUUGAAUAGAAAGUUUAAAAAAGGUUAAAAAAGAAGCAGUACUAUUGUGCUCCAGGUCUUUGUUAGGGUUUGUGACAGUUAUGCCACAGAGGUAUUUAUUUGUGGGUUUUGGGGAAAUGAACUGACAGGGCAGUAUUUCUAUUUCUGUCUGGGGCAAUUAAAGGUCCAGGGGUAUGUAUUUAUUUUUAGUUUGGAGCAUUUAGCAUUAUUCUGGGGUUUGGGGUAUGUAGCAGUCAUGGGGGUAUUUAUUUUUGGCUUUGGAACAAUUACAGGUUAGGGGGCAUUUUAUAUUUGCCAUGUGGUUGCUAGGGUACUGCUAGGUGUUUGCUCCAGCUUGCUGCAAAUAUAUUCAUGAUGGUGGCUAGGAUGUUUCUAGGCUGUUGCUAAGGUAUUCCAGAUGGUUGCUGGGUUUUGCUAGGAGGGUGCUCUGGUGUUCCAUGUAGUUGCUAGGAUGUUGCCAGGAACAAGCACCUGGAAUACCAUAGCAACAACCUAGCAACACCCUGGCAACCAUCUGGAAUUACAUAGCAAUCUCCUAGCAAAACUGCUGCUACCACCUAGGAUACCAUAUUAACCAUCUAGCUUUCACCAAGCAGCACCCUAGCAACUACACUGAAUACAAUAACAACCACCAGGCAACACCGUAACAAUGACCUGAAAUACCAUAGCCACCAGCUAGCAACCACCUGGGAUACCAUAGCAACCACUUAGCAUCUAGGGUUACUAGGUGGAAUCUAGAUGGUAGCAACCACUUAGUAACAGCCUAGCAACAACCUUUGAUACCAUAGCAACCACCAUCACUCUGCAUUUUCUUCAGGAAGUACACUUUUUUAGUUAUUCUAGUUUAUUCUAUUUAAGCAGGAGAAAGGAGCGGGAUCAGACUAAUGGUGGCGCUGUAGCAAAGUGCUUUAUGUUUUUUCCAAAAUCCUACAUUGAAUUUUUUUUCCCCCAUUGAUUCCUUGAGUUAUCCCAAACCAAAAAGCCUCAAGAAUUAAAGCUGCUUUGUGACAAUGUCCAUUGUUAAAGGCGCUAUACAAGCAAAAGUGAACUGUAUAGAAUUGAGUCUGACCAGCGUACUGGUGGUACUGUAGUCAAGGGUUUCACAUUUUGGCUCAUAUCUACUGAACCUACAGUGAAAAUUCUUUUUCCACACAUUCCUUGGAUUCUCCCAAGCAAACAAAAAAACAACCAUUAUCCUACCCCAGUUUGAUUUUUGAGCUAAUUUGCACAGAAUGCUAAACCUGCUUUUGUGAACUAGUCCUAUGUUCAGAAAAUUGGUGGGAAACGACUCAGAAGAGUGUGAAAUCUCUGGGGCAGAGUCUAAUUUACUUACAUUCUGUUCAAUUCAAUUUUAUUUAUAUAGUGCCCUUAACAACAUACAUUGUCGCAAAGCAGCUUUACAGAAAUCCGGAAAUAAAUUUCAAUUUCGAUCCCAAACAGCUCAACUAAUGACUAGACUCAAGGAUUUGCUUGAAAGUUGAAAGGGCCCUAUUGGGAUUUGUAAACAGUAUGGCUGCCACAUGCCAGUCAAUCAUAAGACAGGGUUAUCAUUGAGCUAUCACCACCAAACUUGCAUGGUACUUCCCUCCAGGGAUCUGCUAGUAGCUGAUACAAUCUCAUUCAAAUUAAUGCUAUUCAUGUUUGUGCACACAAAAGCAAGCAUAUCUCUUGUACAGUAUGGGGUACUGUGAAACCGUUUGUUCUCCUGCCUCCGUGGCUGACUGCAUUAAGUGGACCAUCACGCUCCUGUGUGAGCCUCCCCCAAACCCUGGUCAAAGGUGAAUGCACACUAUUGUCUAUAAUGUCUUUGUAUCCUGUAGCAUUACAAUUUCCCUCCACUGGAACUAAGGGGCCUAAACCUGUUCCAGCAUGAUAAUGCCCCUGUGCACAAACUUUUGGCCAUAUAGUGCAUUUUAAAAUGGUUAAACAGUGAUCAAUGAUUCAGGAAACGUAAUGAUUAAAACUGUAGGGCCCUAAAGCUGGCCUAACAAUGCUUCUGAUUUUUACCAACCAGCCCAGAUGCCUGGAGGUUUAAUAAUAUUUAACUAGGCAAUGCUCUGACAUUGAUUGGCCCAAGUCUCUCCAUUUUUACCAUGCACUGAAGGAGAAAGGCUAAAUACCUAUGUCAGAACAAACGUCCUUGCACAGUUUGCAAUGAAUAUGGUUUAGUAAAUGUCCCAAAGAAAAGUGUUGAAUGUGCUUUGAGCUUCCAUUCAUCUUUAGCAACCAUCCUAGAAGCGAAUACAGAGCACCUUACACACACAUUUGCUCACUCAUUCAUACCUGAGGGCAAUUUUAGAGUAGUCAGUCUACCCACUGGCUUGUUUAUGGGAGGUGGGAGGAAACUGGACAAUCUGGACAAAGGCCAUUUAUACCCAGGGAGAGCACAGACAGUAACCUGCUGAGGAUCAAAAUCAGGAACGCUGUAGCUGUGAGGCGACAACGCUACCCACUGUACCACCCUGAUUCCAUUCAGAUGCGUACCAGAUUCCCUGUCACUGUGUAUGUCUAUGUGUUUGGGUCUACAAUACAGCUGACUGACUGACUGGAAUCUCAAUUUGAAAUAGUAAAAGGUGUCAAGGUGAGAGCUGCAGUGGUUCUCUGGCUUUGCCAACUUUUACUGAAGGUCCAUUUGUGGAACCAUCAGUGCACCCCACACUUCACUCCUCAAAGGGAAACCCAGAACUCUGAAAUGGAUGGAAGCAGACCAGCAAAGCUCUUGACAACCUUAAGGGCCUAUUCUACAGCAUCCAGAUCCCUCUCUGCCCUUGGUCAUGGAGGUACAGGAGACAUUUAAAAAAGUAGUACAGAGCUAUCCUGUCACAGCAUCAUUGAAAUCCACCUAAACUACAGAGGAUAUAAAAAAUCUACACAUUCCUGUUAAAAUUGCAGGUUUUUGUGAUGUAAAAAAUUAAAUCAAGAUAAAUCAUGUCAGAUCUUUUUCUGCCUUUAAUGCGAUAUAACAACCAACGACUUUUAAGUGAAAAGCAAAUAGAAACUUUUUAGGGGGGAAAUGAAAAAGAAAUGUGUGGAUCCCUGAACUAAUACUUUGUUAAAGCACCUUUCGUUUGCAAUACAGCACUCCGUCUUUUGGAGUAAGAGUUAUUCACUUAGCACAUCUUGAUGUGGCAAUUUCAUUCCACACUUCCAUGCAAAAAAUGAUCCAGAUAUAUCAGAUUAUGAAGGGAUCUCCUGUGCUCUUCAAUUCAUUCCACAGGAUUUCAAUAGGAUUUAGAUCUGGGCUCUUACUGGGUCAUUCAAAAAUGAUCAUCUUUUCUGAAGCCAUUCUUUUGUUUGGUUUGUGCAUUGGGUCAUUGUCAUUCUGUAAGUUGAAAAUUUUCUUCAUCUUCAGCUGUCUAACGGAAGCCUGGAGGUUUUGUUCCAAAAUAGAUUGGUAUUUGCUAUCCAUAAUUCCCUUUUGACUAGAGCCCCAGUCCCAACUGAAGAGAGGCCCCUUAGCAUCAUGCUGCCACCACCAUGCUUCACCAUGGGUAUGGUAUUCUUUGGGUGAUAAUUGGUCUUGUUUUUGUACCAAAACAUAUCUUUUAUAAUUAUGCCCAAAAAGUUCUACCUUGCCAAUCAGAUCAUAACACAUUUUGAGACAUGGUUUGGAUUUAGGCAGGCUUGGAUGUUUUUUCCUUGAGAGAGGGCUUCCACCCUACCCCAUAGCCCAGACAAGCUCCAGUGAGUCCAGAAUGCAGCAACUAGAGUCCUUACUAGAACCAGAAGAUAUGACCACAUCACCCCUAUCUUAUCCACACUGCCACCCCUACUUUGUGAAGGCUCUUUGUUGGAAUCAUGAAUAGCGAAGGCUACAGCAGGGGGUAGAGCUUUCUCUUACAAAGCCCCACAGUUAUGGAACAGCCUUCCUCUUAGCUCAGACACAGUCUCAGUGUUUAAGUCUAGACUGAAAACAUAUUUGUUUAGUCAAGCCUUUAGUGAAUAGUUUUUUCUUAGGUACAGGGGCAGGUCUGGAGGGAUCACAGGCAUAGAGUGUUGUGGUGAACUGGGAUGUUUGAAUGCUGUCGCCCCCCCACUCUCACACGUUCACUCAGGGUUGUCGACGGUGGAGUGGCUGGAGCUUUAUGUCCCAGGAGCCCUCAUGUCUGUGUUAGCUUCUGGCUCUCCCUUUUAGUUAUGCUGUCAUAGCUAGUCUUGCUGGAGUCCCUGCUUGCACUCUGCACGCAAAGUACAUUGUCUUUAACCGUUACAUGACAAUGAGCAUACCUAAUAAUCUGUGACUCUCUCUCUCUCUCUCUCUCUCUCUCUUGGUCAAGCUACACAUGCUACUCCUGAGACACCAGUGAUCUUGACCCUUUGAAUUAAAUUUAUCUUUGGUUAAUUUUUUACAUCACAAAAACCUGCAGCUUUAACAGGGGUGUGUAGACUUUUUAUAUCCACUGUACAUUCUUUCACAUUAUUCAUUAUUGCUCAGCCCUAUGACAUGCGUAACUGAGAACUCCUGCCAAUAAAAGGGGAUCUUGAAGAAUGGAGACCUUGGGUCUCUACCCAGUGUCUGGGGGCUGAAAACCUGUGUCUCAUUCUAACGGACCACAGGCAUCUUGACUGUGUAAAAUCUACAAAGAGACUUUGGCAGAGAUUCUGAAAAUCUGAUCGCACACCAUUGCAACACUCAAUACAGAGUUCCAAACUACCUCUACAAGUAACAUCAGCACAGCAACUGUUCAUUGGGAGCUUCAUGAAAUGGGUUCCACUGCAAGCAACUGCACACAAGCCUAAGAUCACCAUGUUCUCUGGAGUGAUGUAUCAUGCUUCACUCUCUGGCAGUCUGAUGGAUGAAUCUGGAUUUGGCGGAUGCAAGGAGAACGCUAUCUACCAGAAUGCCUGGUGCCAACAGUAAAGUUUAGUGGAGGAUGGUCUGGUGAUGUUUGGGCUAUGCCUCUGUGAAGGGUAAGGUUAAUGCUAUAGCAUACAAAGACAUUUUAGAAAUUUAUAUGCUUCCAGCUUUGUAGCAACAUUUUGGGGAAGACCCUUUCCUGUUUCCAUCAUGACAAUGCCCUUGUGCACAAAUCAAGGUCCAUAAAGACAUGGUUUGAACACCUUUGGGUUGAAUUGGAACACUGUUUGCUUGCCAGGCCUUCUUAUCCAAGAUUAGUGCCUGACCUCACAAAUCCUCUUUUGAUAGAAUGAGCACAAAUUCCCAUAGACACACUUUAAAAUAUAGUGGAAAGCCUUUCCAGAAGAAUGGAUGCUGUUAUAGCCCCAAAGGUGGGGGCAACUCAAUAUUAAUGCCCACUCAAUAUUAUUGACACCCUUAAAGAUUAUUUUAAAUAAAUGCAAACAUUCAUUCUUGAAAAACAUACACUGUUUUUAAUUUGCUCUCAGUCCCUAGCAACUCUCUUGCUUUUCACCAUCUUGCACUGGUGAACUAGCACAGCUUGACUUGACCAACCAUCCCUCAAGGUACAAAGAAGAUAUGCAUCUAGACUCUUCUCUGUCCUGGCAUCCAGGUGAUGUAAUGAACUUUCUCUGUCUUUCUGAACAGCUCAGUCACUGUCUGUCUUCAUACAGAGACAUACGUCUUCACCAAGCACUUGAAUUAGCACUUAUAUAAGCUAUUAAACAAUUCCUUUGACUUGUAUGUUUUCAUGCCCUACUACGUUCCUCUAAAAGGUUAUUUUAGUUUUAUAUUAUAUUUAUAUUAGUUUGAUGGUAUUUUUAGUCUCUGACCUAGUGGCCAUGAGGAAAGUUUUUCACAGACACUGCAAAGCACAUGUGUAAUUUUCUCUAGUUAAGGGUGACUGCUAAAUGCUGUAAAUGUAAAUGCAAUUAGCAGUUAAAUUGUCUCAACAAAUGAAAAUUUCCCAGGAUUUGGCCCCAUGAGCACAAUGCACCACCAGGAGGAUGGUGAAGUUGGGAAAACAGUUUUAGAAUUGUCCAAUUGAUUCUUGUGGUUGACAGGUUUCAAAAUCAACUAUUAAAUUCUACUUUCAUUAAAAAAAAACAAACAAGCAGUUUGAAAGCAUUGCAAGAAAGAAGCCAUUCCUGAGAGCAUCUCACGCAACCUCAUUAAAACUACAGUUCCCUAAGUAAUAAGUGUCAUUAAAACUACAGUUGGCAUCAUGUGUUUUGGUCAAAUGAGGCCAAAAUUCAAACUUUUGGUCAUACCCAUUAACAUUUUGGUGACAAAAGAGGACUGCAUACAAGGAAAAGCACCUGGUACAAACUGGUGGUGGAUCAGUGAUGCCCCAGGGCUGUUUUGUGGUUCAGGGCCUCCUGUGAAGAUUGAUGACCAUCAACUCUGCCAGGUACCAAGAUAUUUCAGCCUAAAACCUGGUUGUCUCUUCCAGAACAUUCAGACUUGGCCAUAGAUAGAGCUUUCAACAAGAUUCAUUCACCUUCAGUAAGCAUUUUAUCCUGCUUAGGGCUUAGGACUGGGAGCCUAUCCCAGUAAUGCUGGUGCAAGGUGGGAGAAUUCACCCUGGAUGGGAUGCCAGUCCAUUGCAAGGCACCCUUCACCGUGUCCACACCUAGGGGCAAGUUACCGUAGCCAACCUGCCUAUCUGCCUAUUAUUGGGAUGUGGGAGGAAACUGGGUAACCCAGAGAAAACCAUGCAAACAGAGGGAGAACAUGAGAAACUCCACACAGACAGUAACCCAAGCUAAGGAUCAGACCAGGGAUGCCGGCGCUGUGAGGAAGUGUGAAGAACCACUGUGACACCGCCUGCUGUCAACAAGAUGAUGAUCCAAAUACACAAAAUUCUAAUCAAUACAGAAAUGGUUAAAGAAACAAAACAUCACUAGAUGCAUCUCAGUCUCUGGAUUUUAACCCCACGGGAAACGUGUGGUCUGCAAGUCCACUUGCAAUAAACAUACAAUAUAAAGGAGCUUAGACUUUUAUGCAUGGAGGAGUGGAGCAAAAUCCACUGCUCUACAAGUCUCUCCAACAUUAUUUGACAUUACACUAUGAAACCCAGUGCUGUUAUUCUCUCCAAGGCACAAUAUAUUAUAUACACAAUAUGGCUGAAAGACACUUCAUCAUCACACACAUAUGUGCUUUUCGAACAUCUCAUUCCAGACUCAGUCCCUCAUUGCUGGUAUAAUAACCUCCUCUCUUCUGGGAAGGCUUUCCACUAGAUUCCCUAUUCAUGUCUUCAUGGAGCUCGCUUUGUGCACAGGGGCAUUGUCAUGCUGGAACAGGUUUCAGCCUCUUAGUUCCAGUGAAGGGAAACUGUAAAGCUACAGCACACAGAGACGUUCUAUACAACUGUGUGCACAAGACAUUGUUGUUUUUAAAUGAUCAUUCUCCAUCGUUAUUGAAAGGAAGUUGUUGUGGACAAUCAUUCGAUCAUUAUAAUGAAAUGCUGCUUAAAGAAGCACUCCUGAUUCUGAUGGCGUGUCCAGUGAAUUUUUCUGAUCUUCCUGAAAUGUAACAAACCUGAAAACUAAAGUAAAUCUGAUAAAAUAUUAUUAUUAUUAGAUGGCUAUUGUUGUCAACUAUAAAUAACAGUUUCUUGAUUUGGGAAGAUAUUGCUGUUUCGAAACACAAUUACUCAGUCACAUUAGACAGAAGAUAGAAAGUUUUCCAGAAGGUUCCACAGGACAUCUGGUUCAGGAGUUGAUAAAAGUUAGAUAAUUAAAACUAACUAAUAAUUAUUUAAUAAAAUGGCUACAAUGUGUGAAUGAAAAAAUUAUUUCCCAGUAGCCAUGUUUUUUCACUGUUUCCCAGUAGUGAAAGAUUUUUAAAAAAUAUAUAUAGCUGAUAUAGAUCACGCCCACUUCCUGUCUAUAUGUACACUAUAUAACCAAAAGUAUGUGCACCCCUGAAAAUCACACCCAUAUGUGGUUCUUCUCUAAACUGUUACCACAAAGUAUGAAACACACAGUUGUAUAGAACGUCUCUGUGUGCUGUAGCUUUACAGUUUCCCUUCACUGGAACUAAGAGGCUCAAACCUGUUCCAGCAUGACAAUGCCCCUGUGCACAAAGCCAGCUCCAUGAAGACAUGGUGUGUGAAGGUUGGAGUGGAAGAACUCGAGUGUCCUGCACAGAGCCCUGACAUCAACCCCACUGAACACCUUUGAGAUGAACUGGAACACCGACUGAACCCCACAUCAGUAUGGAAAUCAAGUGUUGGACUGGUACGCUUGUACCGUGCUAUAGUAGAGAUCACAUCAGGGGUGAGGAGCCUUGGUCUGCUGCCUCCGGUGGCUUUGGGGACCCAGAGACCGGUGCGUCGAUACCAGCGUAGAGGACGGCCAUUGACAAACCUUCCUCCAAGCUGAUUCAAGCUGCCUUCCUCUGGGGGAAAAAAACCCCAAAACCUACAUGAGCAACUGUGGUGUUCGUAUAAGCCCAGUUGAGUUCAUAGGCUGAUUUCAUCCCCAGCACGCGCAGGACACUGCACCAGUGCACAUGCAAGUGACAGGACUCUUCACAAAGCUGCUGAAGUGUAUGAAUUGAGAAAUGUCUCUUAUCCUCCACAUGGAUGUAAAGCCUGUUUUUUCCUCCUUCUCUGCACUGAGCAGACGCCAACGUGGCGCUCGCACAGGACGCUCGUGUGCUUGGCGCAUUCUCAUGAAGGUUAUAGCGACGCUGCAUUUUAAGCAAACAUUUGAAAAUCUGUCGAGCAGAUGGUAAAGUGCUUUUGAUAAAUCCCAGCUCCAUCCUCUAGCCUCUUUUUAUUACAUUUUCUUUCAAGGAUGAGCAAAUAGAGCCGGAUGGUGCGAAUGCGGCCCAAUGGUGGCUUUAUUCAUAAAAAAGCUCACAGAUGUGUGUUGUCCAAGCAGCAGAUACAAUGUGCUGUAAACGUUUGAAAGGAAAUAUUUAGAGAGUAAAUAUUAGCGAGGUGGAAGCCACGCGAGCCUCGUAUUUGGUCAAGUUUAAUGACUAAUUGGGCAUCAUUAGGUCAGUCCACGCAGAGCGAAGACGUCGGAAAUAAAGGGUGGAAUUUAAAAUGCCAUAUGGCCCAAAUUACACAUUAACCCCAGCUUCCAGCAGCGGAAGAUGGGCAGCUCGGAGCACUUGGGAUUAUAUGGCGAAAGGAGUCUGAACGCCACAUUGUCCUUGACAACGAGAAGAAAGCACAAAGUAAUGCACUAGCAGCUUCCACACAGAGGGCUUAUCACACUGAGCUUUUUAACACGCAGGUUUCUGAGAAGUGCAGUGAGCUAAAAGCACUGAGAGUUUCUAAAUGCGCAAUUCUGUUUGGAUCACUGAAAAGUGUGCUCACUGCUGCACUCUGGGCAUAAACACAGAUCUCUGCUGGUGUCAGAACUGUUGUGCUGUGUUUAAGGAGUUGGUUUUCAGAGCCACGGGGUCAGUGUCUGCCCUGAAAGCAGUGCAUUUCCCUCGCGUAAAUGUGCACAGAGAGGAGAGCUACCCAAAUGCGCACGAGCAUUCCCCGCAUUCCCGGAUGUUCCAGACAGCCAAGCCAUCAUCCAAACGCUGAAUCACAGUCGAAUCAAGCUCCAGAGUCUCAUCCACACGUUACACACACACAUAAAGCUGGAAGAUGUGUCUAAAGGGUGCUUGCUCUGCUUAUGGAUGAUGUUUUCCUGAAGUGUUGAAUACUGCAUUCCCUCAGCCGUGUAUCUGAAAUCCCAGCUACAGGCUCCUACACUUCAUUCAGGAGCCAUGUGAAUGAGUCAGAUUGCACAUGAACCCCAUACUGAAGCUGUUUACAAGCUGUAUCUGCUCUACACAUGAAUAUACAUUUAAUCCAGCUAUUCUUCUUUUCUGUAAUGUCUCUGCAUAAAUAAAGCACAACUGCAUUCCAUACAAACACUGUUCCUAUUGUCACAGUAGUUUAAAUAUAAGUGUACACACAGUUUAAAUGUAGGCCUAUAAACACAUAUAUCCUAACAUCAUUACAGAACUAUCAGAAGUCUCCACUGUAAAGGCUAAUGUCUUCGACAUGUACACUGAAAUAUUUCAAAUAGAAGCAAAACUUUAGAGCAGAUGUAACAAUACAUAUGUAUGUAGAUUAUUUGCCUGUAAUAGAUUUUUUUCUAACAAACAAAAGGUAUGAAACUGUAUUGCUGUCUGGGUAAACACAGACUAAUGCUUCUCUAUUCCACUAACUCCAGGAGGACAGGAGGACAGGAGGACAGGAGGGGUUUCUUCAUCAGUGCUGCUGUGAGUUCAGCACGUAAACCUGUGUUUUAUAGGGAACACUGAUACACUAGCAGGUACUUAUAUUAUCAAGAUAAAGUGCAAAGGCAAUUACAGAUGAUUUCUCUUAAACCAAUCAAACUUGGAUAAACAGUAAAAGCCACCUGAUGGAGUUUAUAGGGUGAGUAGACAUUAAUCUAAAGCUCUGGCUAAUUAUGAGGCACCAUGUCACAAUAUCAAACACUAAGAGGAAACCUUGUGAUAAACUAAUAUUACAUAUGAUAUAACACUAACUCUUCCACAAUACUGUGUGCCUUCUUCAGCGUUUUCCUGACUAGAAUACUGCUAGAUUUCUUUCAUUGUUAUUAAGCUAAUAAUAAUAAUAACACUACACUGUCUGAUGCAUAAGAAUAAACACAUAACAAAGGUUAUAAAACACAUAAACACAUAACAAAACACUCUAUUUUUUUUAAAAAAGACGAACAGUUUGUGUGCGCGCGCUUUCGGCUCCAGCUGUUCUGUGUGCGCGCGCUUUCGGCUCCAGCUGUUCUGUGUGCGCGCAGACACUUAUUGUGUUGGAGCCUAAAAUAAUAAACAAAGAGAGAGAAAAAAAAAAGCAGAUCACUUCCAAAGUUGAAUCUUUUCCCGCAAGCACAGAUCUGAGACCCUCUGCGUCAGAAGGGAUGAAUCCAGCUGUUUGAAGCAGAGGUUUCCUUCAGGAGAAAAACUUCUUAUAUUACUGUCACAUUCCACAUUCUGCACUGUUCCUACUUAAACGUAAGUAAAUGUGUGAUAUUGAGCAGGUUAACUGCUUUGAACAAAAGGUCAGAUUCCCCUCAUGUCUAAUCUCCUCUACUGAAGCGUGUGAUCAGACGACACUCUGAUGGAUCUGAUCUAAAAUGGAUCAUGAGGAAGCUUGUGGAGUCCAUGCCAG